UACUUUUUUGUAAAUAAAGAACCCUUCAAUGAUUUUAUUCUUUCUGGAAAACGAAGAAAUCUACUUUUAAGAGGUUGCAGGCUUUCCGAAGUGCUUUGAACUGAUGAUUCCCCACAAUAGAGGAAUAUAAAGGAAAAGUAAAGAAAAGGAACUUUGGACGAUAUCCUCGUUUAUUAUAAGUCAAAUCUACUCUAUAUGGAUCUUCAUGUCGGAUACUAGUUUCAGUCUUAAGAGCUUGUACUGGUGUAUGUGUAAUAUUUUUAAAGAAAAUUACUCCAUCUCUUGUAAUCAUACUGGAAAUAUGAGUAGUAUAGACGCGAAAAUUUUAGCUGUAAUAUAUGGAUUAAAUAGUUUUAGACUUUAUUAAAGUACAAAUAAAA